GACGAACGCUGGCGGCGUGCUUAACACAUGCAAGUCGAACGGAAAGGCCCUGCUUUUGUGGGGUGCUCGAGUGGCGCACGGGUGAGUAACACGUGAGUAACCUGCCCUUGACUUUGGGAUAACUUCAGGAAACUGGGGCUAAUACCGGAUAGGAGCUCCUGCUGCAUGGUGGGGGUUGGAAAAUUUCGGCGGUUGGGGAUGGUCUGGCGGCUUAUCAGCUUGUUGGUGAGGUAGUGGCUUACGAAGGCUUUGACGGGUAGCCGGCCUGAGAGGGUGACCGGCCACAUUGAGACUGAGAUACGGCCCAGACUCCUACGGGAGGCAGCAGUGGGGAAUAUUGCACAAUGGGCGGAAGCCUGAUGCAGCAACGCCGCGUGCGGGAUGCCGGCCUUCGGGUGGUAAACCGCUUUCGCCGGUGACGAAGCGUGAGUGACGGUAAUGGGUAAAGAAGCACCGGCUAACUACGUG
rnacentral:rRNA from 1 species